UACAGAGGUGGCAAGCGUUGUUCGGAUUUAUUGGGCGUAAAGGGUCCGUAGGCGGCCUGGAAAGUCGGAUGUGAAAUCCCACAGCUUAACUGUGGAACUGCAUUCGAAACUUCCAGGCUAGAGUGUGAGAGGGGUAAAGGGAAUUCCCGGUGUAAGGGUGAAAUCUGCAGAGAUCGGGAGGAAUACCAGUCGCGAAGGCGCUUUACUGGCUCACCACUGACGCUCAGGGACGAAAGCUAGGGGAGCAAACGGG
rnacentral:rRNA from 1 species